rnacentral:rRNA from 1 species
UACAUGGGGUGCAAACGUUGCUCGGAAUUAUUGGGCGUAAAGCGCGCGUAGGCGGUUACUAAAGUCGGAUGUGAAAGCCCUCGGCUUAACUGAGGAAGUGCACCCGAAACUGAGUAGCUAGAGUACUAAAGAGGGUCGCGGAAUUUCCGGUGUAGAGGUGAAAUUCGUAGAUAUCGGGAGGAACACCGGUGGCGAAGGCGGCGACCUGGGUAGAUACUGACGCUGAGGCGCGAAAGCGUGGGAAGCAAACAGG